UUAAACGGCCAUGUCUCCCUGAACACGCCCGAUCUCGUCUGAUCUCGGAAGCUAAGCGGGGUCGGGCCUGGUUAGUACUUGGAUGGGAGACCGCCUGGGAAUACCAGGUGCUGUAAGUG
ensembl:rRNA 5S_rRNA 5S ribosomal RNA